CUCCUGUCAAUCGUGUGUCGUCUGUUUGAUUCCUUCCCUUCUCCAAUCGUACUCCUCCAUGCUCAGGUCCUUCCCUCCCCCUCCCUACUCGAGAUCCCCUAAUCCGUCCGUGCGCCCAGCCCUUCCUUGCUCGCAUCUCCUGCACCGAAGCAGAUGCGACGGCGGCACCAUCCUCGUUGGUGGAGGCAUGGUGGCAAUGGGGGAUCGACAGCGCCACCUCGAUCUCGGCGGCCGACGUCUGGUACUCGGCCGCCGAGCCGGGGAGCCCAUGCCCCGAGGCCUGCUGGCUGGUGGAGGCGGAGGGUAGGACGGCACGGCGACGGCGGGCGUCAGCGCCCGUCUAGGUGCCCAUGUGUCCGAGCUGCUUCGUUGUGCCAGACCCGGAGGCCGGAGCAGAUGCUAUUCGAGAUGUUGGACGACAACAGCAAGGCGGGCGCCGGUGGGUGGGAGCCACCGCACAGCAUUGGUGGUGGAGGUCGCCGGGCCGAUGCUCAAGGGCCGGGCUGUGCUGUGGGUGCGCGACGCUAUUUGGAGCCAGACUGGCUUCAACCGACGACGGCCAUUCAAAGCUUGGGUUUUGAUUUCCUUUUUCCUUUUCAAUUGCUCUCAGAUUUCUCCGCCUCUCUUUUUCUGGGAUGAAAAUUUUGUAACACGCACGGGUUGCUUCUUGUUUUUGGCCUCCGAUCCAUCCAGGAUUAGUAGUAAAUCGAUUGACACAAGAGCUAGAGAUGAAGCAAUAAUUGUGUGGUGACUGAAUCGUUGGUUAAAUAAUCUGGUUGCUGAUUGGGCAGCUAGAUACUCGCUUGCUCCAACGAAAAUCGGUUGGAGCUUGAUGAUUCUUUCUUUUGGAUACUUUAUUGGUCUUGUAAUUCGACAUGUUUAUGUUUGUUCUUCUCAGUAUUUUCCUGUUUGGCUCAAAUAUGUGUCUAGCAUCAAGUUGAUGGACGAUCAGACGAUGCCCCCUUCAAGCGGGGACCGCGGCAGAUAGAGCGUCUGCUAUCCCAGUCACAAGUUUUCCCUCGACGCUGCAAGGCCGUAUUUUUGCCCAAUCUUAUGGCCCCCUGCAUCCACCGUCCGCUCUGCAUCCAAUGAACAACUCGCGCACCAUCGAACGACGCGCGCACCAUGUGCACCUGACAGGCUGGUCCCACGUUCUAGAAAACCUGAGGGUCGUGUGCCCCCUUCACUUCGUCUGUUCAUCUUCUCUCUCUAGGGUUUCUCUCUCUUCUCCAUCCGCUCUAGCAGCCAUCGCCGAAAUUGCUCCCAUCACCCACUAUCGUUGCGCGCCUUUGGAUCCCAGCGUGGAAUCGGCGGGGUUUGAAGUGAAGAUCAGACCCAGUUCAUCGUCACGAGCAGCUGGAAUCCGGAGGGAGAGAGUGUUGGAUGGACUGCAGCAUCUGGGGUGGCUUCGAAUCCGGUGGUGCAGGUUCAGAAUAAGCAUUGUUUCCAUUGCCCAGCAAAAUGAUAGAGUUGGGGGUGCAGGGGGUGGAGAGCUGGCAGUGAUUCUAGUGAUUUUUGUUCCUAUCGUCUCCAGAUCGAGGGAACUGUGAGGACCAGGGGCAACGAAUCAGUGCCAGGCCUGUGCUCUUUGUCGGCGGCCGCAACACUGGGGGUACUGCAUUUUCAGAGGUAAAUCCCAUGCCCCAACCAACAAGAUGCGAUUUCCCCCAGGUCUUUCUCCCGUGUGGGUGUUGUCUGGUCCUCCUGCGCGAUUCAAGCCGAUUCGAUUUCUGUCUUGGUGUUUCAUUUCUGUCUUUGCUGCAUGUAUUUUAGCCCCCACCCACUGGCUGCAGUAGUAUUUUGAUAGAGAUAGGCGUGGUGGGAGUGUCUGUAGUGCUGGUAUAGAUUGCUACAUAUAUUGUUGUUCUACAGGGAAAUCAAAUCGAUGCAAGCCAUUGUUGGUUUUCUGUCCUUAUGCAAUAGCUGCUUCAGAUCGAUACAAAUAUUAUUCUGUGCUUAGCUCGUGUAGUUUUACCUUUGUAUGUGUCAAUUUUUACUUGAGUGCUCAUGUGCUUUUACCCAGUGGCUCUAUAACUUUUUUCUCCCUUCCAACAGCAAGUGCUUAUGUGAUUUUACUUAAUGACAGGGAGCUGUAGCACUGUCUUCUAGCUUUUGCAUUCUCUCUCAUGUAGGAAAAUUAAUUUGAGAUAGCUGAUCAUUUUCCAUAAUCAUUGCCUUUUGCCUUUUUGUUAUGCUUUUUGUGUGGCCAGAUUUGUGUUAUAUCCGUGUUUUUUCAGUGUCCCUCUCUGGAAUGCUGUAACAUGGAUUGGUCUUUAGACACAGUAACAACAAGAUCACCACUAGAGAUGGGUUUAAGUUGUAAAUCUAUAUUUCUACCAUUUUUAACUCCGAUCAUUUUUAGACUCCUGUUAUGCAUUGGUGGACCAGAAAAGAACUUAAUCAUUUUGUAGGGGCUUGACUAUGCAAGUGCAGAACUACAUGUUGGUUGCUUGCGACCCACAAACUUUUCUACUGGCAUUGUUAGGAGCAUUUUAAUACAUUUUAGUAGGUAUUUAAAUACUAUUCAUAUAGCAUUUUUAGUGUUCAGUUCAAGUAAUUUUUUUAACAUUUUAUGUCUCAUGUGACGGCCGAUAGACUCUCCUUUUGUUUGGAACCAAGUCUUUUUACAUCAUUACAAUCUAAAGUUUCCUUCUCAUGGUGUUUGUUUCUUUGCUCUAUACCCUAUGGAGAAAUAGCUAAAUUCAGACAUGUGCAUCUAAAAAUAGCUAAAUUCAGACAUGGUGUGAUGCUACCUCUAUUUAGUGUCAUGUGUAAUCACUGUCAUUGAAUGAUUUAUAUGUUUAAUACAAUCUGAAAUUGUUACAUUUAUCUGGCAUACUGUUUUAUCCUUUUUUGGAAUAUGACAUACAAUGCAUUAAUAUGGGGAAAUUAUAGUUUUUCUGCUCCCAGAUUAAUGAUACUAUGGGGAUACAUGUCAGGAAAGUGGAGUCCAGUUCUCCACCGCGUUCGGUUUGACCUUCCUACUUAUGUAUGUUGUGUUACCUUGUAGGCAACAUAUACUGAAUCGACAAGUAAUAUAUUUAUCAUAAUUUAGCAUUUUUGUUCUACUGAUUUAGCAUUUUUUAUGUUCUGAUGAUAAAUAUUUUCAGGAAAUUUGAUUUAUUUUGCUCUCUCACUUGUUCUACAUUGCUUUUGAGUCCACUAUAUCUUUUUUUUGAAAUAGUACUUGCAAACAGUGUUCCGAUAUUAAUUAAACAGUUGAUCUCUCAUCUCAUGCUGCCAUGCCAUGCGGUGCUUGCAGGGGUUAAUCCAUCCUCUUGUUGCAGGGUACACUCAGAGGAUUUGACCUGGACACCAACAUCUAGGUGGAUGAUUUGGGCAUUUUCGAUUCAGUUGCUCUUCCUUUGUUCGGGGGUUUAAUCUGGGGUGGGUGGGUGGUGUAUUCAUAUCACUGUUAAUUUGGGUUUCAUGAACGAAGCUUCAGUUUGGUUCCUGAAUGCGAAAUUGUUAUCUUGUUCUUCUUCACAUCAUUAUAACCAUUUUAGUACUUUGCAGUAGGCAUUUUUGUCAAAUAGUAGAAGCAUUUUUAGUACUUUCCUAUAGUGAAUUGUAUCAAUUACUAGAAGCAUUUCAUUACUUUCCAGUAGGCAAAUACAUCAAUUAUGAGACACGUUUCAGUACUUUUCAGUAGCAAACACAUCAAAUACUAGAAGCAUUUUCAGAACUAGGCAAUAAUAUUGGUAGGAAUUGGGCAAUAAUAUUGGUAGGAAAUGAGCAAUAAUAUUUGUUCUUGAUAGGCAAUAACAUGGGUUACAAUAGGUAAUUUUUCUGCCAAAGGUUACAUGUGGCUUCUACAUGCUGCAGCUGUUGAAGCUGAUGAAUCAUCAUGUGAAAACUGCUAUCGCUUAAAGUAUUGCAGUAUAGAUAGUUGAUGCACCUGUAGGAGAAGCUGCAUCACCAUAAAUUAUUAGGUGCUAAAUCUAAUGUUUUCAUCAGGCAAGAAUAAUAUACUUUGUGUCUUGUAGUGUCGAUCUAAUGUUUCAUGUAGGCAACAUACUGCGAAGUCUUUAACCCCUACUACUUUAAUUUCCUCUAAUUAUGUUCUUUCUUAAAAGCAUUGCAGGUCGUGGCAUGGUUAGGAAAGGAAGCAAAUAGGCAUUUCCUCUAAUGUUACUUGCUUGUAUAUUUAAUCUAAUUUUGCUUCAAAUCAAUCUGUGUUAUUUGCUUGUACAUUUAUUCUAAAUUACUUCGGAGUAUAUUAUGAUAUGCUUUCAACUUUUAACAGAAGUGUUUUUGGAAUUGUAUGAGAAAAAUAUGAUCGAGAUAUAUUGAAGUGAGAUCUUAUUUUGAAGUUUUUGCCAGGGGCAACUCAAUAGUGCAAUUGUAUUUUAA